rnacentral:rRNA from 1 species
UACAGAGGGGGCAAGCGUUAUUCGGAAUUAUUGGGCGUAAAGGGCGCGUAGGCGGCUUUGCAAGUGACGGGUGAAAUCCCUCGGCUUAACCGAGGAACUGCCUGUCAAACUGCAUGGCUAGAGUCCGGAAGAGGCGAGUGGAAUUCCUGGUGUAGCGGUGGAAUGCGCAGAUAUCAGGAGGAACACCAACGGCGAAGGCAGCUCGCUGGGACGGUACUGACGCUGAGGCGCGAAAGCGUGGGGAGCAAACAGG